CCUACGGGUGGCAGCAGUGGGGAAUAUUGCGCAAUGGGCGAAAGCCUGACGCAGCGACGCCGCGUGAGGGAUGAAGGUCUUCGGAUCGUAAACCUCUGUCAGCAGGGAAGAACGGUCACUGUGCUAAUCAGCAGUGAAUUGACGGUACCUGCAAAGGAAGCACCGGCUAACUCCGUGCCAGCAGCCGCGGUAAUACGGAGGGUGCGAGCGUUAAUCGGACUUACUGGGCGUAAAGCGAUCGUAGGCGGUAUGUCAAGUCAAGGGUGAAAUCCCCGCGCUCAACGUGGGAACUGCCUUUGAAACUGGCAAACUGGAGUGUGGGAGAGGAUAGUGGAAUUCCAGGUGUAGGAGUGAAAUGCGUAGAUAUCUGGAGGAACAUCGGUGGCGAAGGCGACUAUCUGGCACAUAACUGACGCUGAGGAGCGAAAGCGUGGGUAGCAAACAGGAUCAGAUACCCCGGUAGUC
rnacentral:rRNA from 1 species